CUGGGGAAGACCAGAAGUGCCAAAGGUCUACUUUGCUACAGAGAAAAUAAGUGAAGCGACUGUGUCUCAAUGAAAGGUUGGACACCGCUGACCAUUCUUCAAGUCCUCGACAAUUUGCUGAGCAGAUACUCACCAUGGGUCAGGCUCUAGGACACCAUGGGAAAAACUGAGGCAGAAGCACACUCAGCAUUUAAGUGACAGCUUCUGUCAGCUCAUGCAGCAGAUUGACAGAUCGCAAUAACAAAAAGGGAAGUCUGGAUGCUGUCAGAGGCAAGAAGAAACUGCUGCCUCUGCUUUCUUCAGUGUUGAGCACAGCUCCAUGCUCAGCAG
rnacentral:lncRNA from 1 species